CAAUCCGAUUUCAUAACUAGUUGGUACGUUCGAAUAAUAAAAAGAAGUUCUCUUUCUAAUCCUAUUUAGAUUCUGUCGGGUGAAUACAAUCAAACAGAAUCCAAUUCUGAUGCAAAAAUUCAAAUUAAAAAAUGAAAUAAAAAAGAUACAAAAUAAAAAAAAAUAUCACUAAAGGUGGGUUGUAAACCUUAUUAGAUACCAUUGACUCUGGUAUCUAAUAAGUUUUACCUACUAUUGGAUUUGAACCAAUGACUCCCGCCGUAUGAAAGCAGUACUCUAACCACUGAGUUAAGUAGGUCAUUUAUCAUCCCAAAAAGAACCAAACGAAACCCAUCCUGUCGAUGGAUUAUAAAUAUCAUAUUACUUAUAAGCAAUACUAAUAUAAGGAAUACCACUCAAAGAGAUCAAAGAUUCUUGAUGUUGGAUCAUGGAAUAUUUCUCUUGACAAGAAUUUACCUACAUGAUAAAAUAUGUAUCACAAGCACUAAGGGCUAUAGCUCAGUUGGUAGAGCAACUCGUUUACACGCGCGCCAAUGUUUUUCAAGGGAGUUCAUCAUACAAUCAGAAAAAUUGAUCUUGUUGAGAAAUCGAUGUCUUACUCCAUAACUUUGAGGGAACCAUAGCCUGACAAAGGGUUCGGUCCAAUUUGGACGCCCAUUUAGGAGGUGCCAAACAGACCCCAUCAUUGAUUUGAGAUCUUGAUAAGGUGAAUACCCAGUCUAUUCAAUGCUAGGCCAUAAUGAGUAUAAGGACCUCAAAAAAAUCUCUUUUCGUCAUAUGAACUUUAAGGUGUAUGAAGUUUCAUAUUUGAUUUUUAAGCAGAACGAUAGAGACUUCAUUUAACUUAGGUUGAUCUAGGCCAGAGACAGACCUACGUCAAGAUAAUCCCACCUUUGAAACACUUUGGUAAUGCUCCCAAAUAAUUAAUCAGAGCCCAUGGAGCCAUUUCCUUAUCUUUUUUUAUGUCAAGAAAAAAAAUGGCAGACUAACUGAUAUUUAGAUCAGUUAAUGAAGGAGCCCAAUGCAAAAAAAUGCAUGUUGGGUCUUUGAAACAGUUCAGAUCAUUUUAAUAAUAAGAAGUUUGAUUUGUUUUACCGAGAAGGUCUACGGUUCGAGUCCAUAUAGCCCUAUAAAAAUGAAAAAUGCAAAAAAAUUUUUGUAUAAUUUGCAUUUCUUCAUUAUUAUUUCUUGCUUGUAACUAAAUGAAACCCAAUUAUUCCUAUAAGUUUACUCACGGCAAUCGUUUAAGCAGAUGAAAGAAAAAACGCAUAUCAAUGGAUCCAAUAGAUAUUGAUUUUUGCAAUUACAGAUAAACAAACCAACCUUUCGUCAUUAAUCUUCGGAGGCGAAUUACAUAUUCAUAUCUACAAUACAAGAAUUAGUGAGACUCCCUUUCUUUUGAUAUCCCCAAUCUUAUUGAAUUUUUGAAGUCAACUCAUUUCACGGGCCUGGUGAAAUGCAAAACUACGACGAGGAAUUCACAUGGAUUUAGGAAAGGCCUGCUAUAUUUGUGUACAAGCUAAGGUUUUUUGAAAAAUGAAUAUCUUUGGUAUCUUUCAUUGUCAAAUAGGCUUUUCCUUCGUAUACCUUACUUACCUCGACCUAGCGAAGCACAACAAAAAAGGUAGUCUUCUUUUUCUGUAUUCAACCAAGAAAAACCCCUCCACCUGGAUUCGAAUCCUAAUAAUAUUAUUAAAUGUUAAUUCAAUAAUAAUAAAAGGAAUAUACCAACACAAGAUCUUCUAAAUCUUGAGAUGGCAAUUCCUAUACAUUCUCUUCUAUUUGAUUACGUGUUCUAUUCUAAAUCACUAAGAAAAAAAUGAAAAUAAAGACCUCCUGAUUCUAUUUAUAGAAAUAAAUAGAAAUCUUUAAAGAAUUUAUAAUUAAAGAAGAAAUCAGAUAAGUAAUUAAUUUAGAAUUCCCCAUUUUUAGAGAAAAAAACAAGAGAAACAGGAGAAUUUGUCGAAGAGUAAUAUAUAGUUAGAAGGUUCUACUAACUAAAUAAAAUGGAAAUAAGUAUAAUGGAAAUAAAAUCGAAUUCCAGUCGAUGAAUCUUGCAAUGAGAUAUGCCCUACAAUAAACGAAUAAACAAAGCAAACUAGUCGGUUCGGCCAAAAUGAAUUCUUGUUUUGACUAAAUAGUUAUGGAUGACUUGACAAUUCCAAUUCGAAUCAACCAAUUGAAUCCGGUAUAUUUUCCACGUUCAUAGGAGUGCGUUUAUGUUUCUUCUUUACGAAUAUGAUUUUUUUUGGGCAUUUCUAAUAAUAUCCAUCCUUGUUCCUAUUUUGGCAUUUUUCAUUUCCGGAGUGUUAGCCCCGAUUAGCAAAGGGCCAGAGAAACUUUCUACUUAUGAGUCAGGUAUAGAACCAAUGGGCGAUGCUUGGUUACAAUUUCGAAUCCGUUAUUAUAUGUUUGCUCUAGUUUUUGUUGUUUUUGAUGUUGAAACGGUUUUUCUUUAUCCAUGGGCAAUGAGUUUCGACGUAUUGGGUGUAUCUGUAUUUAUAGAAGCUUUCAUUUUCGUGUGUAUCUUAAUUAUUGGUUUAGUUUAUGCAUGGCGAAAGGGGGCAUUGGAAUGGUCUUAGCUCCUGCAUAUUCAGACAAUAAAAAGAAAAACGGAAAAAAUAAGAUUGAGACAGUUAUGAAUUCCAUUCAGUUUCUUUUACCUUAUCGAACAGCCCCAAAUUCAGUUAUUUCAACUACAUUAAAUGAUCUUUCAAAUUGGUCAAGACUCUCUAGUUUAUGGCCGCUUCUCUAUGGUACCAGUUGUUGCUUCAUUGAAUUUGCUUCACUAAUAGGCUCACGCUUCGACUUUGAUCGUUAUGGACUCGUACCAAGAUCGAGUCCUAGACAAUCGGAUCUAAUUUUAACAGUCGGAACAGUAACAAUGAAAAUGGCCCCUCUUUAGUGAGAUUAUAUGAGCAAAUGCCCGAACCAAAAUAUGUUAUUGCUAUGGGAGCCUGUACAAUUACAGGCGGGAUGUUCAGUACCGAUUCUUAUAGUACUAUUCGGGGAGUCGAUAAGCUAAUUCCUGUAGAUGUAUAUUUGCCAGGUUGUCCACCUAAACCGGAAGCGGUUAUAGAUGCUAUAACAAAACUUCGUAAGAAAAUAUCUCGAGAACUCUAUGAAGAUCGAAUUAGGUCUCAACGAGCGAAUCGGUGUUUUAUUACCAACCACAAGUUUCAUGUUCGACGCAGUAUUCAUACGAGAAAUUAUGAUCAAAGAGUUCUUUAUCAACCACCAUCUACUUCAGAGAUCCCUACGGAAAUCUUUUUCAAAUACAAAAAUUCAGUAUCUUCCGCCGAAUUAGUGAAUUAGACAGGAUUCCUUUGUCCAGAAUAAGAAGUGGUGGGUCAAUUUUCAUAAAUUUCAUCGUAAAUGUGAAAUACUUAUACAAAUAAAAAUGCGGGAGAGAUAGAAAAGAUGCAGGUUCGUUUGUCUGCUUGGCUAGUCAAGCAUGGGCUAAUUCAUAGAUCUUUGGGCUUUGAUUAACAAGGAAUAGAGACUUUACAAAUAAAGCCCGAGGAUUGGCAUUCCAUUGCUGUCAUUUUUUAUUUAUAUGGGUACAACUAUCUACGCUCUCAAUGUGCCUACGAUGUAGCGCCUGGCGGGCUGUUAGCUAGUGUGUAUCAUCUUACGAGAAUAGAGGAUUGUGUGGCUCAACCAGAAGAGCUAUGCAUAAAAGUAUUUGCCUCCAGAAGGAAUCUUAGAAUUCCGUCUGUUUUCUGGGUUUGGAAAAGCGUGGAUUUUCAAGAACGAGAAUCAUAUGAUAUGUUGGGAAUCUCUUACGAUAAUCAUCCACGCUUGAAACGUAUCUUAAUGCCUGAAAGUUGGAUAGGAUGGCCCUUACGUAAGGAUUAUAUUGCCCCCAAUUUUUAUGAAAUACAAGAUGCUCAUUGAAUGAUAAGAAAGCUAUUUCCACUUAGACAAUUUCAGAUAUUCAAGGAUUGCACGUUUUGUUAUAGAUUAAGCCUAACAACAAAAGACAAUUAGGGAUUCAUUGGAAUUCUCACAUUUAGUUGGAAGAUACUUCUUUCGGAUGGGUCACACCAAUAGGAUGAACCAAAUGAGUUCUGCAUCAUGAACUUUGUACUGCGCACGUUACUUAGACGGGUUCUAGAAAGGCAUAUAGGAAGGAAUGGAGAAAUCGAGAAUAAAGAAAUUUAAUAUGAAAGAAAAGCCAAAGAAAUGAGAUAAUAUCAGAUUCUAUUUCUUUGGAUCUGAGCUGAAUGUUGUCUAUUUCAACCCCCCUAGAUUCGGAUUCUACUUUUGAGCCUUUCCACAAUUAACUAAUUUUACCUUUCUAAUAUGUAUUACGUAAUCAAAUUCGUUUGAACAAGAGGAGAAAAAAAGAGGAGAUAGAAUCCAAUUCUUUUAGAUACUUUAUCUAAGAAACUCUACCCAUCUAUGUUCUAGAUGGGGUAUAUCUCGCUAAACUGGAUAAAGCUAUUAUUCUAAUCUAGACUAUAAAAAAAUAUGUAUGUGGAUUCAUAUCAAUUAAUUAGAAAUUCAUUCUAGGGAAGAGAGACCCAUACAAAUUAAUCAUGUGCCAAGAACCAGAUUUGAACUGGUGACACGAGGAUUUUCAGUCCUCUGCUCUACCAACUGAGCUAUCCCGGCUAUUCCCAAUCUCGAUUGGGACCGCUAACAUGAGGAUUUAGAGUCCUUUCCAUAAUAUCCUCAUUUUAUCAUAUAACUGGGGUCUAUGUCAAUUAAAAGGACAAAAGUCGAUUAAAAUUUUUUAUCAAAGCCGGGGGAUUUCUUCGAUCUUCAAAAAUAUGACUUUGUAAGUUUUAGUAUGAGUAAUGAUAUUGUAUUGAUCGGGAAUCAUUCAACUAGGGAUUUCUUGCUCAAAUAUGUUCAUUUCUAUGUGUAUCAUAGAUAUCAAAUUGUGAUAAGAGAAAGCCAUUUACGCUUAGAAAAAAAAUCCAUUUCUAAAAGAAUAGAGUGAAUGAGAAAGAUAAGGAAUUUGGAACCGCUAAGGAAAGGGGGUCGGAUAAAUAGUUGGGGAGUUAAAUAGUCUUUUUGGGGAUAGAGGGACUUGAACCCUCACGAUUUUUAAAGUCGACGGAUUUUCCUUUUAAUAUAAAUUUCAUUGUUGCCGGUAUUGACAUGUAGAACGGGACUCUAUCUUUAUUCUCGUCCGAUUAAUCAGAUCUUCAAAAGAUCUAUCAGACUUUGGAGUGAAUGAUUUGAUCAAUGAAUAUUCGAUUCUUUCUUCAAUAUAGAAUGGAUUCACACCAAUUCUUCGAUUUUUUAUAGAAAAACUACGAAUUCGGGUCGUCAUUAAUCAUUUGAUAUAGUAUUCAAUACGUAUGUAUAUACGUUUAUCCUUCACUUCAUUCUUUUUCUUUCUGAAGUUUCGAUGUAAAGAGUCCUCUACGAACGCAUUUAACUCCAUUUGUUAGAAUACCUUCCAUUGAGUCUCUGCACCUAUCCUUUUUUUCUGAACCUUGGAUUGUUUUCAGAAAACAGGAUUUGGCUCAGGAUUGCCCAUUUUUGUUAAUUCCAGGGUUUCUCUGAAUUUGAAACUGAUCACUUAGUAAUUUUCCAUACCAAGGCUCAAUCCAAUUAAGUCCGUAGCGUCUACCAAUUUCGCCAUAUCUCCCUUUCUUUUUGUUUUGAGAUUAGGAUCUUGUUGUGAUUUCAUUCCUUUUUAUUUUUCUUUCAUUUAUACUGGAACCAUUGAAUUCAUUAGAUACCGAUUCCUAUCUCGAAAACGUGUUUUCUCCUCUUUGAUUUUAUUAACUAUCUUCUAUAGGAGACCCUUUUUUUGUCCAGUCAAAAAUGAUUUUAUCAUUUCGGAAUCUGCAAUUCAAUAUAGAUUGAUAUAUACCCGAUCUAUAUGUCUUGCUUCCUGUCAUUUUGCCAUUCAAUUUUGAAUACUUGAACGAUCGAUUCUUGUUUUUUAUCUUCACUUUCCCCUGAAAGCCGAGGAAUGUCUCAUUAGUUAUAACUAACCAUUGCAUUAAACAAUUAGAAUUUGAAAUAAAUAUAGAAUGAGAUAUAUAUAUAAUAUAGAAUAUAAUAUAGAACUGUAAUAAAAAGUAUUUCAAAUGCCAAAAAAAGAAAUGAAAAAAAAAAGAAUAUUUACCAUUCAAUUCAAAUUGAAAAUCAAAGAAUAUUAACAAUAUUUACAAUCACUAUUUAAUAAUAUUAGUAUUAGAAUUGUGAUAAAUCGAAAUUCUAGAUCGCUAUAUUAAUCCUUAUGCUCUAGAAUAUUCAAUAGAAUAUUGACUAGUUAAUAACUAAGAUUCCAAUUCCAGUAGUUUAGUCAAUUACUAUGCAUAUAAGAUUUCUGUGAUGUGGGCCCGCUUAGCUCAGAGGUUAGAGCAUCGCAUUUGUAAUGCGAUGGUCAUCGGUUCGAUUCCGAUAGCCGGCUUUUCCCCUUUUUUUUUCAUUUUUUAGAUGAUUGAUAAUGUUCCUUUGAAAUCAAAGAAUAUUGAAAUUGCGCCUUCCUCCUUUUCCAAAAGCUAUCAAUUUAUUAUAGGAACUUCCAAUUAUGUCAGCAAAGAAUUAUAUAUAUAUAAUAGAAGGGGUUCUGUAUAUUUAUCUAAUUCAUCCCAUUCUUCUUUUCUUUAUAGUAUUUAUAGUACAAGUACACUAUUUCAGUAAACUUCGCUUCAUUUAGUUCAGUUUAGUUUUAGUUUAGGUUUAUUCUGUAAAAUAAAAUUCAAUAAAAAAAUAGAAAUAAGAAUUCAUUCAAAAUACUAAAUAAGAAUAAGGAGUCUUUAUGUCGCGUUACCGAGGACCUCGUUUCAAAAAAAUACGACGCCUGGGGGCUUUACCAGGACUAACUAAUAAAAAGCCUAGGACCGGAAGUGAUCUUAGAAACCAAUCGCGUUCCAGUAAAAAAUCUCAAUAUCGUAUUCGUCUAGAAGAAAAACAAAAAUUGUGUUUUCAUUAUGGUCUUACAGAACGACAAUUACUUAAAUACGUUCGUAUCGCCAGAAAAGCCAAGGGGUCAACAGGUCAAGUUUUACUACAAUUACUUGAAAUGCGUUUGGAUAACAUCCUUUUUCGAUUCGGUAUGGCUUCCACUAUUCCCGCAGCCCGUCAAUUAGUUAACCAUCGACAUAUUUUAGUUAAUGGUCAUAUAGUAGAUAUACCGAGUUAUCGCUGCAAACCCCGAGAUAUUAUUACGGCUAAGGAUGAACAAAAAUCCAGAGUUCUGAUUCAAAUUUCUCUCGAUUCAUCCCCUCAUGAGAAGUUACCAAAUCAUUUGACCCUUCAGCCAUUCCAAUAUAAAGGAUUAGUCAAUCAAAUAAUAGAUAGCAAAUGGGUUGGUUUGAAAAUAAAUAAAUUGCUAGUCGUAGAAUAUUAUUCUCGUCAGACUUAAACCUCAGACUUAAACCAAGGGUUCGCAAAAAUUUCUUCCCUUUAGGCGAAGUAAAUUAACCCAAGGUUAAGUAAGUUAAGUAAGAUCAAUCCGAGUUUGAUCUAGAUUUCCCCCAUUUUUGUAUCAUAGACCAAGGAUCUAUUUUCAUUCCUUGUCUAUUCUUUUCUUUCCAGUAUUUUGAUUAUGAUUAUUUUUGAGUAUUCUAUUUUACGCGUCACAGCAAUUAGGAAUUGAGAAUCUAUAUCUUUAGAUCAAAGAAGGGUCUAGCUGUUUGAAUAAUGGUAUACAAUGCUAUUUGAGUCCUUGUUGUUAGUAAAAUUGGUGAAUUAAGCGAAGGUACGGAAAGAGAGGGAUUCGAACCCUCGGUAAACAAAAGCCUACAUAGCAGUUCCAAUGCUACGCCUUGAACCACUCGGCCAUCUCUCCUACAUAAUGAUUAUGACCCCAAAACCGAGUGAAUAGCGAGUCAGUCAUAAUCCAUAUUCCAUUAUUUGAUAGGUACGACCAAUCCAUUUUAACUGAAAAUUUGUCAUCAAAGUCAAAGCAAAGAACGGUUUUUCUUUCCUUCGAGGCUCCGGGAUAAAGAUACAAUUUUUACGAAAAAUUGUUCAAAAAAAUUCAAUUCAUGUUUGCAAAAACAACGUUCCCUUCUUUUUCUGAUAUUUUUCUAUUUUUAUAACGGAUUAAUUCAAUGAAUUAGAACGAAUCAACUAAUUGAUGGUCUAUAUCUUUUAGACUAUAGUUAAUGGAUACUCUUAAAUGAUAACUGUAAUUAUAAUUAUAUAGACUAUGAUUCCAUACCAGAAAAUUUUUUUAAUUCCUUUUUGGUUUUGGAGUUCUCAACAACAAAUACCUACCCCUCUAUUAGAAUAGAAAUUCAUCAAAAAUUUAGAUUCGAUUGUAUAGUGUAUACCCGUUAUGUACACAAAAUUGGCAGUUAUUCUAUUUUCAUCAUAGAAUGAUUAGUCGAUCUUUUUUCUUCUUUGUAAUUUGUAUCAUGAUUCAAUCAAAAUUUCUCGAGUUCUUCUAAUUUGUAACUUCACCAAAAUCAGAAUAGUUCCUAUACUACUACAUUAGUAUGAAAUCGAAUCGCGUUGAAAUAUUUCUUAUUUCUUAUUUCUUCUCGAUUCCUGUCAAAAAGGAACAAUUGGAAUAGAGGAUUCAUAUCUUUUGUUUUUUUGUUAAAAAAAAGAAGUUUUUAUGUUAUUCCGUAUUAUACAAUUCUUUUCUUUGUGGGAUCUUUUUCCCACGAGAGGUAAUGAAAAGAAUUCUAGAAUGGAUUGCUACCUAUGCCUAGAUCACGGAUAAAUGGAAAUUUUAUUGAUAAGACCUUUUCAAUUGUAGCCGAUAUCUUAUUACGAGUAAUUCCGACAACUUCCGGAGAAAAAGAGGCAUUUACCUAUUACAGAGAUGGUGCGAUUUGAUUCUUUUUUUUUGAUUUUAUAUUUAUUCAUUUCUCUCAGUCUUACGAGGAGAAAAAUACAUGAUUCGAGAAAAGAAAUCUACGCUUUUUGAAGGUGAAGUUUGGAAAUAGAACAAUUCCUUCUGUCGUGUAUCCUCGAUUAAUGCAACCUCAGAUGCUAUGUUUCAAUUAUAGAUUCUAGUAUUAAGCGAAAGGUUACGCCUAGAGGUUCUGUAUUACGGGUCAAUCCUACUCUACUAGCGCUAAUAGGCAGCAUAGGGGAAGAAGCGCUACACCUAGGAAUCAACAACACGAAAACUUUGUUCUAAGUCAGCCCUUUUCUUAGCGGGCUUGGGACUAAAAGAAUGGUUGGGACAACAAACAUCCAUCUCGUUCGUCCUUUGGAUACCCGUAUAACCAUCAAAGGAUAUUGAAGUGACUAAUUCCUGGAAAUUAGGAGGCGUUAAAAACAAAAAAAUUGUGGGAGUUAUCUUAUCAUUUCUAUCUAGUCCCAAUAGGCUUGAUGUUAAGAAAGAAUCUCUUGCAGGAAGGUUGGCUAGAGAUUUCUUGUAAAAACACUAGCCCUGCUGAGUUCAUAAUGAGAAUAUUUUCAUCGUUGAAUCUUUUUUGAUUCUAUGUAUUAUUCUCAUUAUGCACAUAAGGGAGGAGCCGUAUGAGGUGAAAAUCUCACGUACGGUUCUGGAAUGGAGAUUCUUUCAAUUGAAUGACGACCGUAACGGAUGUCGGCUCAAUCCGAAGGAAAUUAUGCGGAAGCUUUGCAGAAUUAUUAUGAAGCUAUGCGACUAGAAAUUGAUCCCUAUGAUCGAAGUUAUAUACUCUAUAAUAUAGGGCUUAUCCACACAAGUAAUGGAGAACAUACGAAAGCUUUGGAAUAUUAUUUUCGAGCACUAGAACGAAACCCAUUCUUACAACAAGAUUUUAAUAAUAUGGCCGUGAUGUGUCAUUACGUGUGACUAUCUCCACUAUAGAAAGAAAAAAAGAAAAAUCUAGUAAAGUAACUACUAGAACCAAAUAGGCUUUCUACAUAUGCAUCGUCUAAAACAACGAUUUUUAUCAGCUGUAGCAAAGAACGAAACUUCAUAGAAGUCAAAAUAGGAAAAAAUAAAAAUGCCUAGCAACUUUUUUCUAUGGAUAUAAAGCUUUAAUUGAGAGAGAUAGAGAAAGCACCGUAAAGAUCAAUUAGCGAGGUUUUGGGCCGAUACAAUAAUAACUGCGUACUUAUCUCAUGAUGUGAGAUAAAAAUUAGGAAUUAACUUAUCUAAUAGAGUCGAUCCACUAAAGUCUUGAGCAGCGGUGUAGGAUCAGAUCCCAAAGAUAGUAAGUAUUUUCUUUCUUAUGAAAGAAAGUCUUUUUCAAAGAUUCUAUAUAAAUUUAUCUAUGAAAUCGAGAUAGUUCUCUUUCAGAAAAUUCUAACACUAGUAGAAAUGCCUAUGCUCUAUUCUUCUGAUGGUGGGAAAAAAGAUAAAACUAAAUAAACGGAUUAUUCAUCCAAAUUUCAGUUUGAAACUCAUGUAAUUAACCUAUUUUUCUUUUGGUUAACCCUAAAACUGGGAUAGAUCCAUGAGAAAUCUGAUUAGAUUUUAUUAGAUAUGGUAUAGAUCAAAAUGGGACACCAAAAGAAUUGACUGCUGAGCCGUAUGAGGUAAGAAAUUCUCAAGUACGGUUCUAAGGGAAGGAAUUGAACUACCUAUUCCGGCCGGGGAGAACAGGCCAUUCAACAGGGAGAUUCUGAAAUUGCAGAGGCUUGGUUUGAUCAAGCUUCUGAGUAUUAGAAACAGCCUAUAGCGCUUACUCCCGGUAAUUAUAUUGAAGCGCGUAAUUGGUUGAAGAUCAAGAGACGUUUCGAAUAAAAGAGGACCCCGUUUAUUUAUUAUCCUUUAUUUAGAAUCUUAGUCUAGUAUUUUAUUUUUUUAUUUAAAAUUUAGAUAUUUGUUAUAAUUAAUUGUUUGUUGGACCCAUCAGAUCAGUUAACGAAAAAACGGAUUAUUCCUUUGCUUUUGGAAGACCCAAUCACAUAAUUUCAUUAUCUCCCCUCUAAGCCGUCUAUUUCACUUCUAUUUCAUCUGCUAUUUUUUAGGAAUAAAAAAGGAUACACAGAUAGAGUACAAAAUAGACUUCUUUUUAUUAAAUUAAACAAAAUUAUUAUUAAAACUAAUAAAAGAAACCUUUGAAUCACUAAAUAUAUAUAUACCGGGUAUGUCUCUUAGUAAUGUCUAAUGGCUACUCGCGUGAUUUGGAAUAGAGUUAGAGUUAUUAAAAUCUUCUAGGUAAAAAAUUAAAGAGCUCCAUUUAAUAACUUCUAUGAAUAUACACUAGGUUGCACAAAAAAGUCGUUUUUGGACAAAAUUUUAACAAAAUAUAAAAUACAAAAUACUUUUUUUUAUUCGAUUUGAACGUCUGGAUGACAUUAUCUUCUCCUUGACAUUUUGAACAUAUAUGGUCGGGGUAUUUUUGUCCAAUAAUUUUGCAAUAUCUUGUCAAUAAUUCUUCCGAAAUAAACCCUUUUCUUAAUGCUCUUGUUGUUGGUUUUUGCUCUGGCUUGAGUAGACUAAGUAUCCAUUGGCGUAUCUCUUCCAUAUCUUGUUCUCUGAUUUCUUUAGAAUUUGAAUAUAUCAUAACUUGCUCUCGUACAUAAUAGCUCCAUACUGAAUUUCCGUUUAAAUAAUUGUUAGUUAGUUCAUUUAGGAUAGUUGCUAUUCCUAUAACUCUUUUGUUGGCGUAGAAUUCUGGUAUCUCAAUCUUUUGUAUUUCUUGUUGUAUUCUGAUAUCUUCUGGAAUUAUCAUAUCUCUGGUCAAACCAAUUUUUAUAACUUGUAUAAUUGGUUUUAUCUCAUCAAAUAAUAUCUCUGCUGGUGCUGAAUAAAACUUUAUAUAAAACAAUGUUCCUUUAGUAAUUCUUUUAUAGUUCAUAAAGGCUUUGUAUAGCUCUGGUAUGGUAGAUAUUUCAUCUCCUGUUUGGGUAUAAACUGUAUUAAGUAAUCCAUAACUAUAACAUGUUUUUACUAGAUUUGCAUUGGUGCCUGGUUGUGCUAUUAACUUAUUAUAUCCUUGUAGCUUUUGGGUUAUAAAAUCAGUAUUAGGGUCUUUGGUAGUUGGAGAUCUAGGUGUUGAGUUUAAAUAAUUUUGUAUUUUAUAAAGGUUUUCAAUAUAUGAGCGGGUUAUGUGGUUGUAGGCUUUUUUAUCGUGGUUUAAACUUUCUGAGUAAGUAUGUAUUUGUGGUGGUAUAAAUAAUGAGUCUUUUUGGUUCUUUGGAAUAAAUGGUUUAUCGAAGAUUUUGUUCAUAUUUAAAUUUGUAUAUCUUAUUCCACUGGCUCCUUUUGUUGUAGAUGUGCUUGCUGUAGCUGCAUUUAAACAAACAUUGUCAUGGGUUUUAUAAUGUUUCCCAACGUCUCCUUCUAGUUCUGGCUUUUUACCGUCCGCCGAACGACGUAGCUCCGCAUUUUUAGAGUCAUGCUGCGACUGUUAGCUUUCUGAUUUUGUAACUCUUUUCCCACACUGUCCACCUUCGUAGAAAGUGUAGUAAUUGCUUUGAGUAUUUCUUCUAUUGUAUCUUGUUCAGUUUGAGUUCCUUUUUCUUGAUAGGUAGUCUGCACCAAGGUUCUUGUCAGUCUUAAUUACUUCAAUUGUAAAUGUAAAAUUUAAUAUAUUCAAUACUAAUCUCCUUAUUUCUUUUGUUGUAACUGAAUCUUCUAAUUUUUUUGUUAUCCACCAUUUUACCUGUGUGUUAUCUGUUCUUACAAUAAAUUUAUUGUAAACAAUAUAUGGUUCAAAUGCUAAUAAACAUUUAUAUAAUGCGAAUAAUUCUUUUCUAUUUAUUUCCCAUUUUAUUUGUGCUUCUGUAUAAGAUCCUGAAUAAUAUCUACAAUGGUGUUCUAUUUUUUCUUUUUCAUAUUUGUAUUUUAAAACUCCUCCGUAACUAUGAUCACUCGAAUCUGUUUCAACAAUGUAAGUAAAUGUUUUAUUUUCAUCAGGAAAAUAUAGUUUUGGUAAUUUUUUACAUAGAUUCUUAAAAAUUUUUAUAUGUUUUUUAUGUUUAUUAUCAAAAUGAUAUUCUACAUCUUUUUUAAGUUUUUUAUGUAAUGGUUUUAAAUGUUCUGCUAAUUUUGGUAUAUAUUCUCUUACCUGGUUUACUAAUCCUAGAAAGGAUUGUAAUUUCUUUUUUGUAUCUAUAUUUUUAUCAAUAGUAAUUAUUUUUUGUACUAUAUGAGUUUGCAUUUUUAUUCCAUUUUUAUCUAUUUGUAUUCCUAGAAACUCUAUUUGUGAUUUCAUAAUUUCUGCUUUUCUUUUACUCAAACUUAUACUAUAUGUAUAAAUUUUUUCAAUAAUCUUAUAUGUUCAUCUUGUGUUCUAGAAUAUAGCAAUAUGUCAUAUAUAUAUAUACAAUACAGUUUUCUAGUUGGUUAAAACAGUUAUCCAUAAAAUGUUGGAAUCUACCUGGUGCAUUUUUAUAUGCAAAAGGUAAAACAUUUCAUUCAUAGAAACCUUGCGGUACUGUGAAUGCUGUUAAUUGUUUGGAUUCUUCUUCUAGUUUUAGGUGGUAAAAUCCUGAUUUGCAGUCAAAUUUCCUAAAAUAAUUAUAUCCUUGUAUUUGUCUUAUUUUUAGUAUUUUGUUUGGUAUCGGAUAAUUGUAUGUUUUAGUUUUAGCAUUUAGAUUACGAUAAUCUAUGACCAUUCUACUUUUACCUCUUUUUUGUUCACUGUGUUUUAUUACUAUAAAUGUUGGACUUGUAUGUUUACUAUUGCUUUUUUGUAUGUAAUUAUUUUCUAACAAUUCAUUUAUAUGUAUUUUAAAUUCUUCUAGAUCAUCAAAGUUAUAUUUUAAUGGUUUCUGUGUUAUUAUACUAUUUUCAUCUAUUAAUUCAAUUUUUACUUUUGUCUUAUGUUUUUCCCAUCCUUGUAAUGGAUCUUCACUAUAUAAUUGUUCUAGUUGUUCAUUAAUUAAUUUGACUUUGUCUAUAGCAAAUAUAAUAAUUUCUAAUUGCGUUAUUUGUUUAUUAUUUAUAUUUUCCAUUUCUUGGUUUAUCUUUUCACUUCCUUUUAUCCAUUCCAUAGGUUUUCGUUGUUUAUUAUUUAAUCUUUUUGCUCCUAUCUUAUUUCCGCAUGGUGUAGUAAGCCACCAAUGUGUUUUUGUUAUUUUGUGUGGAUAAUAUCUAUCUAGAAAUGGCAUUCCUAAUAACAUAUCUUUUGUAGUAAGUUCAAAAUUAUACAUUUCUUCUAUUGUUAGUAUUUUAUCCCAUAUUUGUAUUUUUAUAUUUUUUGCUUUGUAUUUAAUCAUACUUCCUUCAUUGUUAAAUCCUGUUACUACCAUAGGUGUUUUUAAUUUUUCCCAUUUAUCUUCUGGUAAGCAAUUAUAUUUACAUAUAUUCGCUUCUGCUCCUCUAUCUAUCAUAGGGGUAUAAUAUCUGUUGUGAUAUCCUUCUACUAUAAUUUUUGCAAGUAUAAAUAUUUUCAUUAAUCAUUUUGUCCUUUUUAUAAUUAUUUUCUUAUUUUGACAAGUUAUUGUUAAUUGUUCAUUUUCUAUAUUGUAUGGUUUGACUUUUUCUAACCAUUUUAUUCCUAAUGAAAUAUUAUGAUUUCCUUGGUAUAUUUUAAAUUGUAUUACUAAGGGUAUUCCUCCUAUAAUUAUUUCUUUUUCUGUUGUUUCUUCAUUCGUGUUCACUAUCUCACUAGGUAGUCCAGGGCAUGUAUGUCCUGUUCUUAUAAUUUCUUCUUCUAAUACUAACUCUCUUGUUAUAUAAUUUUCUUCUUGUCCUGUAUUUAUUAAUAUUUUAUAUUUUCUUUGGUCUGUUAUUCCUGUUAUGAAAUAAUGAUAUGGUGUUAUUUCUUCUUUAUCUAAUAAGCUUUGUGGAAUUUCAUAUUUUCUUUUAGAUGUACUCAUCCUUGAUGAGGUAGCUCUUGUCAAUGUAUUUGGUACGCUUGAAGUGCUUAAUCUUUCUUUUACUAUCUCUAAAUCUUCUUCUAUAUCAAUUUCUUUAUAGCUAUAGUUAUUAUUUUCUAUUACAGUAAUUAUUUUUUCAAAAGGAUUUUCUAUUUUUAUUUUAUUAAUUUUAUUUCUUUCUGUUAUUUUAUGCUUUGUUGUUAAUAUAUAUAAAUUUUUACAUCUUGCUGUAAAUAGUUUGCUCCCUGGUGCUAGUUCUAUUCCAGACAUUUUCCAAUAUAGAACUAAUAAUCUAUCUAUAUUUUUAUCUGUUAAUGAUACUGUAUAAUUAGCACUUAUUGUAAACUUAAAUUUUUGAUAUAUUAAGUUUCCUUUUACUGCACUAAUUAUGCUUUUUUCUAUAGGGUGUACAAUUCUAUCAUCUGCUAAAUAUAUUUCUAUAGGUGUAUCUAUUCCUUCUCUAAAGCAGGCUUUUAUUAAUAUUUCUGUUCCUCCUAAAUGUACAUAUUUUAUUGGUGUUUUAGCUUUUAUAUCUUGUAUUUCUUUGUUUAUCAUUCUUUUAUUUAUUAUAGGUAUAAAUGCUUUUCCUCUUGUGUAUUUACAAUCUAUGAUAUGUUCUUUUUGACUAACUAUAUAGUAUUCUUCUUUUUGUCUUUUAAACCAAUUUCUUAAAAUAGGUAUUUCUAGUACUUUUUCAACACUUAAAUCUAAUUCUUUUCCUUUUAUUUGUUCAAAUAUCGUAUUAUCAAAUAUAAUUUUCUGUUAUGAUGAUUCCUCAUCUUGAUAUUCUUCCUUAGAUAUUAUUUUUAUUUCAUUUUCAGACAUUAUAAUUCUUCAUCUUUUUCGUUGUUAUCUAUGUUAAUAUUUUCUUCUUCAUUCUCAGUUUCUAUGUCUGAUACUUCAUAUAUACUAUCAUUUUCACUUAAUUCAUAAUCUAUGUACUCUAUUUGCAUAUAUUUUUCAUUGUCUAUAAUUAAUUCUGCUAUUUGUUUUCUUUUUGGAUUUUUGGGUAAUUUACAAUCUUUAGCUAUGUGUCCUAUCUUUCCACAAUUAUAACAAGUACAUUGGGAUAUUUUUCUUUUUGGUAUGUAAGGUCUUUUUAUUUUAUGAUUUUUUACAUAAUACCUUCGUCUUAGUUGUUUAUAUUUAUAUAUAGUUUUUUUUUCUAUAAUUUUUAUAUCUUUUAGAUUUUUGUUUUUUAGUCGUGCAUCCAAAUUGUGGUGACAUUUUAUUUUUGCAACAUGAUAAAUUUUUAUUUAAUACUUUUUCCAUUUUUAAUUUUUCUUUUCGGUUUUCACAUAGUUGUAUGAACAUUUGAUUUAAAAAUUUUAUUCUAGAUCCUAAAGUAUCUACCAUUCCUUCAUUAUUCCAAUCCUUUAUCACAUUUGUACUAAAUGGUUCUGGUAAUUUUGUAUAAUGUUGUUUUCUUAUUUUUUUUGCUUCGUCUAAAUUGUAUUUAGCUUUGUAAUAAUAUUCUUUAAAUGCGCAAGUAUAUUCUUCUAAGUAACACAUUUUACAUAUAGCUAAUUUUGUCAUAAGUUGUCUAUUUAUUAUUUUUUUCUCUAUUUUGUUCUCUUAUAUCUGUAGUCAUGCCUCCAAAUUCAUUUCUUAUUGCUGAUUCAUAUUUAUCUAGUAUAUCUAUAUUUGUUGCUGAUGGGGAUCCAUCCAUUUUCUUAUCAUUUCUAAGUACUUCUAAACUUUCUGGGGUAGAUUUUCUAUCCAUAAUUUUGCUGUUCCUAUGAAUGUUCUUUCUAUAUAUCUUGGUGUUUUCUCUGUUUCUAUUUUGUUAUCUAUUAACUGUUUAGACAUAUUUCCUAUCCAUAACAAUAUUGCUUUAUUUAUAUUUGCGACACAAUCUAAAUCUAAGAAAUUGUAUUGUUCAUUUGCUGGUUUAGGUGUCCAAUUUUUAUUUAGUCUAGUGUUCCAUAUUGCAUUAUUUCUGUUUGAUUGUUGAUAGCUUUCUGUAUAAUAAGUUGGUGGUGUUCUCCUAGGACUAACUCUAGGACUAUUUCUGGGACUAUUAUCUGGGGUUUUAACUCUUGACGUACUAGGCCUAUUCAUAUCUCCUGUGUUUAUUUCUAAUUUUUUUGGUUUAUUUAUCUGUUCUAGAAUUUCUGUAUAUGUUUCACUUAUAUAACUUAUUUCUGAUUGUUGGUCAUUUCCAUUUCCGUCUAUUUCAUUUACUUCAAUAUCUUCAUUUAGAUCUUUUAGAUCUUCAUUUAGUUUCUGUUCCAUUUGGUUUUAUUUCAUUUGUAAAUUCUAGCUCUUUAUCUUUUUGUUUUUGUUUAUUUUCAUAUAAUAAUUUUAACCUAGCUAAUUCUUUUUCUAAUUCACUUAUUCUUGUAUUUUUUAUUUCUUCUAAAUUUUGUACUUCUUGUUUUGCUUGUGUUUUUAUUUUUUCAAUUUCUCUUGAUUUAUCUAUUUCUUCAUUUUCUUUUGUUAUUCUUACCAUAGCUGUUAAACUAUCUUCUAAUUUUGCUGUUUCUUUUUCUAGCAUUAAGUAUAAGUUAUUUCCUAUUCUCUUGUAUCUUCUUCCUAAAUUUGAAAAUACUAUUUUUAUUAUCAUUCCAUCUUGGUUUUCAAAUGUUUUUUCGUCUACUGCAAGCUCUUCUUUAUUCAUUAUGAUCUAUGUAUUAUAUUAUGUUGUAAUUCAUAUUCAGGACAAUCUAAUUCUAAUUCUAACAUUAAUAUAUCUUUUCUUUGUGCUAGUAUUGAUUUAUUAUAUACUCCUACUAAUAUAUUUUCUUCUAACCUAUUUUUUCUAUGUUGUAAUUCUUGUUCUUUCUCAGUUAUUUUUUCCAUUAUUUUUUCUAUUAAUUGUUGUUUAUAAAUUUCUUUGUUCAUACUUUUUAUUCAAAUAGCG
rnacentral:lncRNA from 1 species